GCACCCAGCAACUAGGAGGUGGGGGUGUCUCUCGGGAGGGUUCCUUCGAGAACUCAGUCCCCAGAGGAUCUGUGGAAACUUCCUUUUAAGAAGAGUGUUGCCCUCCAGGGGACCCAGAGGCCACCGCCAACGCCCUCAGUUUGGCUUCUCUUCCACAAGGAUGAUGACCCAGGCUCCUUAAGACCGGCCACAAGCCAGCCUUCCAAUGAGCAGGCAUCCCCUCCUCAUUCUCCACCAACAGCAGAUGAAAUGAGAGGAAAAUGAGUAAAAAGGCAGAUCUGGGCGGGGGAGACAGCGAUCCACUUCAGUAAUCAGUGAAAUCACAGCAUGGCAUUGAAGGAAGAUGUGCGUGGGUGGAAGGGUGGGCAGAGAACAGUCUUCUGUUUGACCGUGACAGGUGUGCAAUGUCCCCUCAUGCUUCUCUCUCCUGGCAGGAAGCAAAUGGCACUGGGUUCCACAAGGGUGGCGGGGGGAGCUUUCCCUGACCUCUGGAUCUGAAGGAACCACCCCUGCACCCAUGGAAGCUUCUGCAUCAUUUACCACAGUCUGCAAUCAUCCUGUGGGUUGGUCACUUCUGUGCCAAACUGGGGACUCCUCAGUGUGUUUGACCCACUGAAAUGAAAGCCUGAUGAGGGGACCUUUUAUUUUCUCUCUCUCAGUCACACCCAUAGCAACUAGCGCUAAGCCUGGCAGGUAUUCCCACUCAAAUACUUGCUGGAUGGAUCAGCAGACUGACAUUUAUUGAAUAAAUGGGUGGGAACUGUCAAUAAUGAAUAGGACUUUAUCCAGGUGAUGGGCCAUCAUCAUAGACAUGUCAGGAGAGGCUGAACUUGGCCGGGUUCACCCUGGAGUCACAGGGCUGUGGUCCACUAGGCUCUCCCCUGAUUCUGGGGAGCCACCUAGGCGUCCCUAAAAAAAUGAUUUUAAAAAUAUUCAGAAACAUAUUAAUAUGUCAUUUAUUUUCACUGAAAUAGAAGAGGCCAUUCACUUAAUAAAAUAUGAGAUAAAGCAGAUAAGCAUGUCUCAGUCUGUCAUCUUAUUAUGAUGUCAUCUUAUUAUGAUGACAGACUGGGACAUUUUUUAAGGCCUUGAUAGGUUAAGGAAAGGAGAUAAAGAGCAAAUGUCACCGCUGGAAAUGUCAAGGAGCAAACACAUUCCACAAGAAACAGCCAAAGGAAUAUGAAAGGUGAGCCAGAAAUGCUGUCCAGGUGCUGAAGCAAAAAGAAGCCACAUAUGGAGGUGGCCAGAAAACACGUAUUUGGAACCUGAGUUCAAAGACUAAAAAUCCACAUGUCCGUAAAGGGAGUUCUUGAAGGAGAGAAAAGGAGAUUCAUUUGUUGUUGUUUAUUACAUGAGUUGAAUUACAAGGAUAAAAUAGGAGAAAGUAAAAGAAUUUCUCUGAAUUUA